AGGAUGAACGCUGGCGGUGUGCUUAAUACAUGCAAGUCGAGCGGAAAGGCCCUUCGGGGUACUCGAGCGGCGAACGGGUGAGUAACACGUGAGUAAUCUGCCCCUAGCUCUGGGAUAGCUCCGGGAAACCGGGAUUAAUACCGGAUACGACCACUUUAGACAUCUGUUGUGGUGGAAAGAAUUUUGGCUAGGGAUGAGCUCGCGGCCUAUCAGCUUGUUGGUGGGUAAUGGCCUACCAAGGCGACGACGGGUA
rnacentral:rRNA from 1 species